GAUGAACGCUGGCGGCGUGCCUAAUACAUGCAAGUCGAGCGAACGGACGAGAAGCUUGCUUCUCUGAUGUUAGCGGCGGACGGGUGAGUAACACGUGGAUAACCUACCUAUAAGACUGGGAUAACUUCGGGAAACCGGAGCUAAUACCGGAUAAUAUUUUGAACCGCAUGGUUCAAAAGUGAAAGACGGUCUUGCUGUCACUUAUAGAUGGAUCCGCGCUGCAUUAGCUAGUUGGUAAGGUAACGGCUUACCAAGGCAACGAUGCAUAGCCGACCUGAGAGGGUGAUCGGCCACACUGGAACUGAGACACGGUCCAGACUCCUACGGGAGGCAGCAGUAGGGAAUCUUCCGCAAUGGGCGAAAGCCUGACGGAGCAACGCCGCGUGAGUGAUGAAGGUCUUCGGAUCGUAAAACUCUGUUAUUAGGGAAGAACAUAUGUGUAAGUAACUGUGCACAUCUUGACGGUACCUAAUCAGAAAGCCACGGCUAACUACGUGCCAGCAGCCGCGGUAAUACGUAGGUGGCAAGCGUUAUCCGGAAUUAUUGGGCGUAAAGCGCGCGUAGGGCGGUUUUUUAGUCUGAUGUGAAACGCCCACGGCUCAACCGUGGAGGGUCAUUGGAAACUGGAAAACUUGAGUGCAGAAGAGGAAAGUGGAAUUCCAUGUGUAGCGGUGAAAUGCGCAGAGAUAUGGAGGAACACCAGUGGCGAAGGCGACUUUCUGGUCUGUAACUGACGCUGAUGUGCGAAAGCGUGGGGAUCAAACAGGAUUAGAUACCCUGGUAGUCCACGCCGUAAACGAUGAGUGCUAAGUGUUAGGGGGUUUCCGCCCCUUAGUGCUGCAGCUAACGCAUUAAGCACUCCGCCUGGGGAGUACGACCGCAAGGUUGAAACUCAAAGGAAUUGACGGGGACCCGCACAAGCGGUGGAGCAUGUGGUUUAAUUCGAAGCAACGCGAAGAACCUUACCAAAUCUUGACAUCCUUUGACAACUCUAGAGAUAGAGCCUUCCCCUUCGGGGGACAAAGUGACAGGUGGUGCAUGGUUGUCGUCAGCUCGUGUCGUGAGAUGUUGGGUUAAGUCCCGCAACGAGCGCAACCCUUAAGCUUAGUUGCCAUCAUUAAGUUGGGCACUCUAAGUUGACUGCCGGUGACAAACCGGAGGAAGGUGGGGAUGACGUCAAAUCAUCAUGCCCCUUAUGAUUUGGGCUACACACGUGCUACAAUAGACAAUACAAAGGGCAGCGAAACCGCGAGGUCAAGCAAAUCCCAUAAAGUUGUUCUCAGUUCGGAUUGUAGUCUGCAACUCGACUACAUGAAGCUGGAAUCGCUAGUAAUCGUAGAUCAGCAUGCUACGGUGAAUACGUUCCCGGGUCU
rnacentral:rRNA from 1 species